rnacentral:rRNA from 1 species
CGCGUAGGCGGUCUGUUAAGUCAGCUGUGAAAGCCCCGGGCUCAACCUGGGAACUGCAGUUGAUACUGUCAGGCUGGAGCACGAGAGAGGGAGGUAGAAUUCCAUGUGUAGCGGUGAAAUGCGUAGAUAUAUGGAGGAAUACCAGUGGCGAAGGCGGCCUCCUGGCUCGAUACUGACGCUGAGGUGCGAAAGCGUGGGUAGCAAACA